GCCCCAUUGACAGGACGCAACCUGUCCGUCAUGUGCGUUUUGGAGGCUUGUUUGCCCAUAUGAUGGGUCUUUUCAGUAGCCUUGCGACCGCUGAGGGGAGCAGGCUUAUCAUCUUGUGCCUUGGAGCAGGGGUCCUUGGGGUUGCGGCCAGACGCCAUGAUGGUGUUACUGAUGGAUUGGGUCAGGUUAUCUGACAUCGCCCCCAUCGCUGUGUAGAUUGCUUGUGUGACCGAUUUUGCCAUGGUUGCAUCUAGCAGAGAAUGGAACUCUUCUGAGUUCAGUUGUUCCACUGACCACACCUCCUCCCCAUGAGAGGAGAUGGGCUGCGGAAC